UGGGGAAUUUUGGACAAUGGGCGCAAGCCUGAUCCAGCAAUGCCGCGUGUGUGAAGAAGGCCUUCGGGUUGUAAAGCACUUUUGUCCGGAAAGAAAACCUCGUGGUUAAUACCCGUGGGGGAUGACGGUACCGGAAGAAUAAGCACCGGCUGACUACGUGCCAGCAGCCGCGGUAAUACGUAGGGUGCAAGCGUUAAUCGGAAUUACUGGGCGUAAAGCGUGCGCAGGCGGUUCGCUAAGACAGAUGUGAAAUCCCCGGGCUUAACCUGGGAACUGCAUUUGUGACUGGCGGGCUAGAGUAUGGCAGAGGGGGGUAGAAUUCCACGUGUAGCAGUGAAAUGCGUAGAGAUGUGGAGGAAUACCGAUGGCGAAGGCAGCCCCCUGGGCCAAUACUGACGCUCAUGCACGAAAGCGUGGGGAGCAAACA
rnacentral:rRNA from 1 species